rnacentral:lncRNA from 1 species
ACCAACAUAAUCGUAGAAUUUGAUAGUGGUGAGGUGAUGACCAAUGCACAAUUAAAGCAAAACCUUUAGAGUAGUAUCUAGUUCUAGAAUUAGAUAAUUUAACCCAUUCUUUGCUAGUGGGGCGGCAUAUAUAGAACUUUGGAUGUUGAAGAUUAUUAUUUGAAUAUAGUAGAGAGCCAUUUAACGAUGAUGAAAGAACAUGAACUGUCUCCCGAAUAUAUCCUAAACUCAAAUCUUCCAUAACCAAGGUGUUAUGUGCCGGGACAAACUCAGCAGAAAAAUUUAUGUCAAACUGCUGCAUAAACAGCCCGAAAGUUUCAAAUAAUCUUUUACAUCGACCGAAUAUAAAUUUAUAAGUGUAUGUCGCCCUGUUGAAAAAAAAAGAGAUAUCUCGGCAAGCGUAAUGAGUCGACAAAGAAACUCUAGUAAAAAUCUUUAUUAAAAUAACAGUUGGCAAGUGUACAUCUUUUUCCUCAUCAACCCAAUGUUGAAAAUAACUAUAUGC